AGAGUUUGAUCAUGGCUCAGAUUGAACGCUGGCGGCAGGCCUAACACAUGCAAGUCGAGCGGUAGCAGGCCUUCGGGCGCUGACGAGCGGCGGACGGGUGAGGAACACGUAGGAAUUUGCCUAGUAGUGGGGGAUAGCCCAGAGAAAUUUGGAGUAAUACCGCAUAUGCCCUGAGGGGGAAAGUGGGGGACCGCAAGGCCUCACGCUAUUAGAGAAGCCUGCGUCGGAUUAGCUAGUUGGUAGGGUAAAGGCCUACCAAGGCGACGAUCCGUAGCUGGUCUGAGAGGAUGAUCAGCCACACUGGGACUGAGACACGGCCCAGACUCCUACGGGAGGCAGCAGUGGGGAAUAUUGGACAAUGGGCGCAAGCCUGAUCCAGCAAUGCCGCGUGUGUGAAGAAGGCCUUCGGGUUGUAAAGCCCUUUAGGCGGGGAGGAACGGCGUCGUGCGAACAGUGCGGCGUUCUGACGUUACCCGCGGAAUAAGCACCGGCUAACUCCGUGCCAGCAGCCGCGGUAAUACGGAGGGUGCGAGCGUUAAUCGGAAUUACUGGGCGUAAAGCGCACGUAGGCGGUCAUGUAAGUGGGAUGUGAAACCCCCGGGCUUAACCUGGGAAUUGCAUACCAGACUGCAAGGCUAGAGUAUGAGAGAGGGUGGUGGAAUUUCCGGUGUAGCGGUGAAAUGCGUAGAGAUCGGAAGGAACAUCAGUGGCGAAGGCGGCCACCUGGCUUAAUACUGACGCUGAGGUGCGAAAGCGUGGGGAUCAAACAGGAUUAGAUACCCUGGUAGUCCACGCCGUAAACGAUGAGAACUAGCCGUUGGAUUCCUUAGAGGAUUUAGUGGCGCAGCUAACGCGAUAAGUUCUCCGCCUGGGGAGUACGGCCGCAAGGUUAAAAC
rnacentral:rRNA from 1 species